rnacentral:rRNA from 1 species
UACGAAGGUGGCAAGCGUUGUUCGGAAUUACUGGGCGUAAAGGGCUCGUAGGUGGCCAACUAAGUCAUACGUGAAAUCCCUCAGCUUAACUGGGGAACUGCGCCUGAUACUGGUUGGCUUGAGUUUGGGAGAGGGACGCGGAAUUCCAAGUGUAGCGGUGAAAUGCGUAGAUAUCUGGAGGAACACCGGUGGCGAAGGCGGCGUCCUGGACCAAUACUGACACUGAGGAGCGAAAGCCAGGGGAGCAAACGGG